rnacentral:rRNA from 1 species
UGCCAGCAGCCGCGGUAAUACGGAGGGUGCAAGCGUUGUUCGGAAUUAUUGGGCGUAAAGCGCGUGUAGGCGGUUCGUUAAGUCUGAUGUGAAAGCCCGGGGCUCAACCCUGGAACUGCACCCGAUACUGGCAGGCUAGAGUCCCGGAGAGGAUGGCGGAAUUCCCGGUGUAGGGGUGAAAUCCGUAGAUAUCGGGAGGAACACCAGUGGCGAAGGCGGCUUUCUGGACCGAUACUGACGCUGAGACGCGAAAGCGUGGGGAGCAAACAGGAUUAGAUA